UACGAACCGUCCAAACGUUAUUCGGAUUUAUUGGGCUUAAAGGGUAUGUAGGCGGCCCUUCAAGUCGGGUGUGAAAGCCCUCGGCUCAACCGAGGAACUGCGCCCGAUACUGCAGGGCUUGAGUGAGACAGGGGUAAGCGGAACUGAUGGUGGAGCGGUGAAAUGCGUUGAUAUCAUCAGGAACACCAGUGGCGAAAGCGGCUUACUGGGUCUCUUCUGACGCUGAGAUACGAAAGCGUAGGUAGCGAACAGG
rnacentral:misc_RNA from 1 species